GCGUGUAGCAGUGAAAUGCGUAGAUAUGCGGAGGAACACCGAUGGCGAAGGCAGCCCCCUGGGAUGACACUGACGCUCAUGCACGAAAGCGUGGGGAGCAAACAGGAUUAGAUACCCUGGUAGUCCACGCCCUAAACGAUGUCAACUAGCUGUCGGGGCCUUCGGGCCUUGGUAGCGCAGCUAACGCGUGAAGUUGACCGCCUGGGGAGUACGGUCGCAAGAUUAAAACUCAAAGGAAUUGACGGGGACCCGCACAAGCGGUGGAUGAUGUGGAUUAAUUCGAUGCAACGCGAAAAACCUUACCUACCCUUGACAUGUCUGGAAUCCCGAAGAGAUUUGGGAGUGCUCGCAAGAGAACUGGAACACAGGUGCUGCAUGGCUGUCGUCAGCU
rnacentral:rRNA from 1 species